AGGGUUUGAUCCUGGCUCAGGAUGAACGCUGGCGGUAUGCCUAACACAUGCAAGUCGUACGAGAGUUUUUAACUCAAGUGGCGGACGGGUGAGUAACACGUGAGAAUUUACCUUUAGGAGGGGGACAACAACUGGAAACGGUUGCUAAUACCCCAUAUGCUUUCGAGUGAAAUGAAUUUAUUCGCCUAAAGAGAAGCUCGCGGCUGAUUAGCUUGUUGGUAGGGUAAGAGCCUACCAAGGCGACGAUCAGUAUCUGGUUUGAGAGGACGAUCAGACACACUGGAACUGAGACACGGUCCAGACUCCUACGGGAGGCAGCAGUGGGGAAUUUUCCGCAAUGGGCGAAAGCCUGACGGAGCAAUACCGCGUGAGGGAAGACGGCCUAUGGGUUGUAAACCUCUUUUUUCAGGGAGGAAUAAAUGACGUGUACCUGAAGAAUAAGCAUCGGCUAACUCCGUGCCAGCAGCCGCGGUAAGACGGAGGAUGCAAGUGUUAUCCGGAAUCACUGGGCGUAAAGCGUCUGUAGGUUGUUAAACAAGUCAACUGUUAA
rnacentral:rRNA from 1 species